rnacentral:lncRNA from 1 species
UUCUGAGAAUGAUGUAUAGCUAUGAGCACAUAACAUGGAAUGAUACAGACUCCAAAGGGCAAAGCUGAGUAUAAAUCAAUGGACAAUGGAGAGAUGCAUGGUGGUCAUGGAAAUGAGGAAAGACGUGAUAGAGUCUUGAAGGACAUGUGGUGUAAAAAAUGUUAUUAAAGAAAUGAAUAAAAGAAAAAAAAGAAGAUAGCCUUGUCACAUGGUGAAGACAAGAAGAUAAAUGAUGGAUGUGCUCUGCUAAUAUCCUUACAAUGCCAUGAGAAUGCAGCAACUCUGGGGAGGACAUGGGGGAGAGUCACAGAGGAUAUAGGCAAGUACCAAUAAGGUAUUGGAUAAUAAACUCAAAUGAAAAAAAUCUUGGAAUAUGUGAACUGUGAAGACAAAUGUGUACAGCUUAAAUUAUAAGAGAGGGAAUCAAUAAGUAAGAGUUUUUGAAUUCUAGUGGCAAGACAAAAGUCAGGAUGACGUUGACUUCUUUGAUGACUGACCAAAUUCUAAGCAUUCCAUUGUGCCUGCUUCCACUGCUUUCAUGGUGAUUGAAACAAAUUGUUCUCAUCUGCCCAUGCUGCCAAGGGAAGUCUUCACAUCCUUGGGGUAGACAUCCCUCCUAAAACUAGCAGAUAUGAGAUCUCUUGACUACUCAUGACCAGGCUUACUCCAUCUACUGAAAUAGUUUUACCUGGAUGUGGCCACUGAACAUGCUACAGCUUCUUGGAACCACAGUUUUCCAUGGGCCUCUGCUGGGAGAAACAGGAUUGGAGCAUCUAUUGACUUCCACCAGCUGUUGCUUGCCAAUUCUGUUCCCUGACAGGGAUAAAAAUUGUGGAAAAACUACAGAAGUGAAAGCUCAGCCCUUGUACCAGUCUGGCAUCAUCUUUGGAUCAUCCAUUGGUAUAACCUGGGCCCAAGACAAAGUUACCAAGAAGGAAUGUUGUUUUUUGAAGAGGACCAAUGGCAUCAUGGCACAAGGCAGAGUCACACAAAGUCAUCAAAGGACUCACUCUCUUUUCCAGAGUCAUCCAAACCUGGUGGUAAGACAGAAGUCAGGAUGGCUGACUGGGAUGCAGUGGAUGACCUUGGCAUCUUCAGCAUUUGACCCAGCUUAGAAG